CCCUUAGAUGUUCUGGGCCGCACGCGCGCUACACUGACUAAUGCAACGAGCUUAUAACCUUGGCCGAAAGGUCUGGGUAAUCUCCAAAUUUCGUCGUGAUGGGGAUAGAUUAUUGCAAUUAUUAAUCUUCAACGAGGAAUGCCUAGUAAGCGCAAGUCAUCAGCUUGCGUUGAUUACGUCCCUGCCCUUUGUACACACCGCCCGUCGCUCCUACCGAUUGAAUGGUCCGGUGAAGCGUUCGGACCGUGGCCUUUGGACGGUUCGCCGUCUGUUGGCUGCGGGAAGUUCGUUAAACCUUAUCAUUUAGAGGAAGGAGAAGUCGUAACA
rnacentral:rRNA from 1 species